AACGAACGCUGGCGGCAUGCCUAACACAUGCAAGUCGAACGAGACCUUCGGGCCUAGUGGCGCACGGGUGCGUAACGCGUGGGAACUUGCCCUUAGGUUCGGAAUAACUCCCCGAAAGGGGUGCUAAUACCGGAUAAUGUCUUCGGACCAAAGAUUUAUCGCCUUUGGAUGGGCCCGCGUUGGAUUAGCUAGUUGGUAGGGUAAAAGCCUACCAAGGCGACGAUCCAUAGCUGGUCUGAGAGGAUGAUCAGCCACACUGGGACUGAGACACGGCCCAGACUCCUACGGGAGGCAGCAGUGGGGAAUAUUGGACAAUGGGCGAAAGCCUGAUCCAGCAAUGCCGCGUGAGUGAUGAAGGCCUUAGGGUUGUAAAGCUCUUUUACCCGGGAUGAUAAUGACAGUACCGGGAGAAUAAGCGCCGGCUAACUCCGUG
rnacentral:rRNA from 1 species